rnacentral:rRNA from 1 species
GUGGGGAAUAUUGGUCAAUGGGCGCAAGCCUGAACCAGCCACGCCGCGUGAGUGAUGAAGGCCUUCGGGUUGUAAAGCUCUGUGGGGAGGGACGAAAACGGUCCGGAAGAAACGACGGAUCCUUGACGGUACCUCCUUAGCAAGCACCGGCUAACUCUGUGCCAGCAGCCGCGGUAAUACAGAGGGUGCGAACGUUGCUCGGAAUUACUGGGCGUAAAGCGCGUGUAGGCGGGACGAUAAGUCGGAAGUGAAAUCCCCGGGCUCAACCCGGGAACUGCUUUCGAAACUGCCGUCCUCGAGUACCGGAGAGGGUGGCGGAAUUCCUGGUGUAGAGGUGAAAUUCGUAGAUAUCAGGAGGAACACCGGUGGCGAAGGCGGCCACCUGGACGGUCACUGACGCUGAGACGCGAAAGCGUGGGGAGCAAACAGGAUUAGAAACCCGUGUAGUCC